AUGUUCUGCUUCUGUCUCCUCACUCUUUGCUUCAUCUCGGCUGCAAGGAUGGGCAGAGCUCAUGGAGAUCUGCUCCGACCCGUUGUCGCUCUACUACGCUCGUUCUGCGACCUCCUUGCCUUCAGUACCACUUGUCGUCAUUGUGGCGCUAAGGUUGGUCCUCCUUCCCUCCGGUCAGUUCACUUCACUUGCAUCAGCUAUGUCACCUUAACUGCCCCUGUUGCAUCCACUGAUUCGCAUCUCCUUGUCGGUGUUGGAGCAUAUCUGUUCCUGUGGCGCAUCGGGAGCGACUCUUAG
rnacentral:rRNA from 1 species